UACGGAGGGUGCGAGCGUUGUCCGGAAUCACUGGGCGUAAAGGGCGCGUAGGUGGCUACUUAAGCGUGUGGUGAAAGUCCGGGGCUCAACCCCGGAUCGGCCGUGCGAACUGAGUGGCUUGAGCACUGUGGAGGCAGGUGGAAUUCCGGGUGUAGCGGUGGAAUGCGUAGAGAUCCGGAAGAACACCGGUGGCGAAGGCGGCCUGCUGGGCAGUGGCUGACACUGAGGCGCGACAGCGUGGGGAGCAAAC
rnacentral:rRNA from 1 species